GACGAACCUUGGCGGCGUGCUUAACACAUGCAAGUCGAACGGAAAGGCCCUGCUUUUGUGGGGUGCUCGAGUGGCGAACGGGUGAGUAACACGUGAGUAACCUGCCCUUGACUUUGGGAUAACUUCAGGAAACUGGGGCUAAUACCGGAUAGGAGCUCCUGCUGCAUGGUGGGGGUUGGAAAGUUUCGGCGGUUGGGGAUGGACUCGCGGCUUAUCAGCUUGUUGGUGGGGUAGUGGCUUACCAAGGCUUUGACGGGUAGCCGGCCUGAGAGGGUGACCGGCCACAUUGGGACUGAGAUACGGCCCAGACUCCUACGGGAGGCAGCAGUGGGGAAUAUUGCACAAUGGGCGGAAGCCUGAUGCAGCAACGCCGCGUGCGGGAUGACGGCCUUCGGGUUGUAAACCGCUUUCGCCUGUGACGAAGCGUGAGUGACGGUAAUGGGUAAAGAAGCACCGGCUAACUACGUGCCAGCAGCCGCGGUGAUACGUAGGGUGCGAGCGUUGUCCGGAUUUAUUGGGCGUAAAGGGCUCGUAGGUGGUUGAUCGCGUCGGAAGUGUAAUCUUGGGGCUUAACCCUGAGCGUGCUUUCGAUACGGGUUGACUUGAGGAAGGUAGGGGAGAAUGGAAUUCCUGGUGGAGCGGUGGAAUGCGCAGAUAUCAGGAGGAACACCAGUGGCGAAGGCGGUUCUCUGGGCCUUUCCUGACGCUGAGGAGCGAAAGCGUGGGGAGCGAACAGGCUUAGAUACCCUGGUAGUCCACGCUGUAAACGGUGGGUACUAGGUGUGGGGUCCACUCCACGGGUUCCGUGCCGUAGCUAACGCUUUAAGUACCCCGCCUGGGGAGUACGGCCGCAAGGCUAAAACUCAAAGGAACUGACGGGGCCCCGCACAAGCGGCGGAGCAUGCGGAUUAAUUCGAUGCAACGCGUAGAACCUUACCUGGGUUUGACAUGGAUCGGGAGUGCUCAGAGAUGGGUGUGCCUCUUUUGGGGUCGGUUCACAGGUGGUGCAUGCCUGUCGUCAGCUCGUGUCGUGAGAUGUUGGGUUAAGUCCCGCAACGAGCGCAACCCUUGUUCACUGUUGCCAGCACGUUAUGGUGGGGACUCAGUGGAGACCGCCGGGGUCAACUCGGAGGAAGGUGGGGAUGACGUCAAGUCAUCAUGCCCCUUAUGUCCAGGGCUUCACGCAUGCUACAAUGGCUGGUACAGAGAGUGGCGAGCCUGUGAGGGUGAGCGAAUCUCGGAAAGCCGGUCUCAGUUCGGAUUGGGGUCUGCAACUCGACCUCAUGAAGUCGGAGUCGCUAGUAAUCGCAGAUCAGCAACGCUGCGGUGAAUACGUUCCCGGGGCU
rnacentral:rRNA from 1 species